rnacentral:lncRNA from 1 species
AAACAAGUGUACUGUAGGCAAGAAUAAUGUUGCAAAAUAUCUCAGAAGGAAAACAAGAGCCCUUAUCAAAAAAUACUAUUCAUUAAUAAUUCCUUUUUAAUGGCUAAAAAGAAUACAAGUGCUUGUCUGUAGAGAGGAAUUGUCUUCAUUAGGAAGGCAAUUUAAUUAGAGCAACUACUUAUGACUUAACAGAAUAUUUUACCAAACAUGCACUACUUAAAAACAUGUUUAUAUGAGUUCUAAAAUAAUAACUAGGAGAAGUUUACUGGAGAAACUGUACAUAGACAAAUCUAUAACUGCAUGUUGCAAAGACUCAUGAAUUUAAAAGUCAGCAAGGCAGGAAUUAACUUCAAGUGCAAGGUCAACUUAUUUGCUAGUUAGAACAGGGUUAUCGGACAAGCUAGAAGUGCUGGGGAUUUUGAUGUGAAACAGGUUAAAAUGGAGAUUUUCACAACUGAUAAAUAAUUAUCAUCAAUUAGCAUUUGGUAAGCAGGUGCCCUUACCAUAUAAAAGGAGGUGGUGGAUAGAUAGUGCUUUUCCUGCUGUGUGGCUUAUAGGAUGGUGAAGAGUUUUUGUUUAGAGAGAAGCCUUCUGAAAUUACAGAGAAAGUUUCAGGAUAACAAUGCUGGUAGACCUGCAGCACCAGAAGCACAUUAUAUCCCUGCAUGUAAUGCAUGGAGAUUAUGGGAAGAGACUUUGAGAGAAGCUUGGAGUACACACAGUAACUACAGGAGGAAAAUACACAUCAGCUUCAUGAAUCAGUAAAGAGCAGCGAAGAAAGAAUGCAUUGUAUCUGCAGAGCCUGUGAAAGCCUCAAGCCUUGGAUGUGAAUUAAGCUCGAUGUGAGGAAGCUGGGUUUUCCCAGGAGUCCAGUUUCAGUGCUCCUGUGGGAAGAGCCGAGUUCAGGUUCUUAAUUUCUUCCCACCCAAGAAGUUACGUGACUAGCAGGUUCAAAAGGAGAAGCUUAGCCUCCUUUUCCUUGGAAGUAGCUUUAUUCAAACCUUGUAUCAUUUGCACAGUGCCCCCGAAGCACAAUCGAGCAACCAGGGACUGUAUGAAAUAUGUAAGCUUUCCUUUCUUCUGCAGUUUUUCCCCCUUGCUUGGCAUAUGGAAUACACUAGACAUGCUUGCCAGUGAAGAGCUCCUCUGGAAGAAAUCAUAUUUAACAAGGAUAAAUGUCUUAUAAUCAAGGUCCUAUAAGCAAAGGUGAGGGUGAGGUAGUUCAUGUCCAUCAAAGUGGAAACUGGCUGGAAGUUUAAUAGUCGCUUGGCACUGUGUUUCUCUUCCAACAGGCUCAUUUUUACAGACAUUCGUCUCUGCUGCAGCUCUUUCUGCUAUAAUUUAUACAGGUGCUGCUACUCGUAAACACUCCUGUCCCCAGUACUCCUGAUGGUAAAAUCUUUUUGUUGGUGUUGUUAUUCCAAAACAAAGGCUCUAUUUCUGCAAGUACAGGUAAUUCAUGAGGUUUCAUUUAUCUGCAUGCUGAUGCUAAUUAAAAAGCUGUUAUCAAAAGUCUCUUCACCCCACAGCCAGCAGAUAGUUGGUUUACCAGCUUCAUCUCCAAACUAAGGGCUAAUUAAUAUAAUUUUACUGAUGAGGAAUUCCUGUAUGAUUCCCCCUUUGAACGGCACUUACAUUCUAAUGGAAGGCUAGUUGAGCUUGCAGGGAUAGUCAAAUUAUUUUUUGUACUGGGGCAAGCCACUAUCUUUUGAAUCAAAUUGUUCCUCUAUUAAUUAAUGCAAUGCACUUAGCUGAACCAUGUACCUGGGGUUACAGUGUCUAUUAGAAGCUGGGCAUGUGUAACUAUGGUGGAAAGAUCAUAAACAAGAAUUGUGAGGAAUGCUGAGACAAGGUGAUAUUCAGGUGUGAGCAGCAAGGGCUUUCAGUUCUCAGGUAGAUGGAUGCUAAUGCAAAUAUCUGGCAGCAGCUCUGUGAGAUCACAGUGCACCUGUGGAGGCUUCGUGCCAGUGACAUCAAGGAGGCUACCAAAGCCCAGACAAAUUUACCUUCCUGUCAAAUGGUGCUCAGGACAGGACUUAUGAAAACAUUUUCCUGCUUACAGAAAAGAAAAAGAUGUAAGCAGGCAUGCAGCAGCUGGUGAGGGCUGCAUGUGUCAAUGCAUAUAUGAAGCUGUGUUUGUAUUCAGAGAAUGGCUGAGGGAAGAACAUGCUGCUUAUGGAGAUGCAGUAGACAUAGUGCUUUGACCUGAGAAGGUUGAGACUGCUUUCAUGAGCAAUACCUAGAUAAAUGAUUUGAGACAUGACAUGAACAGAAAUGGAAGACUUUAUUUCACUAGAAGAAACUUUAGGUUAGUAGAAAUAAUUUUCUUCCAAAUCAUUCAAAGAGCAAAACCCUGAGCCAGGCCUACUGGCCUCAUUGUCAUAUUAAGAAAGUUUUCCAUUUCAGAAAAAGUCUAAAGUUUUGAGGGAAAAGAAUGUUAUCUAUAGUGCUUUCUAAUCUCAAAGUGCAUCACAGUUCUGCUACCGCUUCAUUAUUCAAGCAAAGAACCAUCUAAAUCAUCUAACCUACCUCCCCUGCUUUCUAAUUAGAAAAUCAGCAUGGUCGUGAGCUCCUAAUCUGAUCCUUAUUUCCUUCCCCUGGCUAAUGUCCACAGCAGUUGUUACUGCUGUUGAAAUGUUAGCAGACUUGGUCUGAACCUUGGUUUGUUCCCCCACCAGAGCUGUUAAAUAUCUUGGAUGAAGGAAGAAAAAAAUACUUUGUCUUUCAGCAGCUCCAUGCUGCACCCCAUGGCUAUUCAGUCAGGUCAUAGAGCCCAGAAUAAGUUUCCAAAAACCAGGUGGCUACAAACCUCUGUAAAAUCUGCAUGUGUUCAAAUGUCAAAGACAGCACCUUUUAAAAAAAAGUCAAGUUAAUUAAUACCUGUGAUUUUGCAGGAAAUUAAACACAGGAAGCAUUCCCUCAAACCUUGCUCCUGACUGGGUGCCUGGAACUACAGUAAUUGCCUUGUAUCAGGGAUGUCAUUUUUCAUUUCUAGCAGGUCUUGUUUAACCAGGCAGCUUCUUAAAUUACAAUUCAUUAUCUGCUCUGUAGUGAAGUAAACCUUUUAGCAUGGCUUUUUGUACAUGGAAGCAUGAAUUCGGAAGACGGCCAACAUGUACUUUGCUGAGGCAUGUCCUGGGCAAAGCUCUUGCAGGCUGUGUAAUUUCAUCAAAGGAUUGUUGUUUGGUAAUAGUGGACUUCUGUUUGACUGAUCUCAACAGAGGAUAAAAUGAAAAAUGUCCCACUGUUUAACAGACUUCAAAGACACUUGAGGUUCUGUUUAGACCCUUUGCUUUGAUCCACAAAUAAUUUUGUGGUUGGGUAGAGAGGAUGGGAGAAAUCACAACCUCGUGCUCUUGAUUUAAAUUUCUGUGAUUUUGUUGUUGUUGUUUUGUUCAUUUUGUUAUGUUUUCCUCUUUUCCCCAGAACCAGGAUCAUUUGUGUGUCACUGUCUAGUGGCAGAUAUUUUUCAGGGACCCACAUUAUCAAUAAAAAUUUAGAGAGAUUGUGGAAAGAGUACA